CGUAGGGGGCAAGCGUUGUCCGGAUUUAUUGGGGCGUAAAGAGCUCGUAGGCGGCUCAGUAAGUCGGGUGUUAAAAUCCCCAGGCUCAACCUGGGACACCACUCGAUACUGCUGUGGCUAGAGUCCGGUAGGGGAGCGUGGAAUUCCUGGUGUAGCGGUGAAAUGCGCAGAUAUCAGGAGGAACACCAGCGGCGAAGGCGGCGCUCUGGGCCGGAACUGACGCUGAGGAGCGAAAGCAUGGGGUAGCAAACAGGAUU
rnacentral:rRNA from 1 species